rnacentral:lncRNA from 1 species
ACAGCAGUUGCAAGAACUUGGGUGAUCCUCAACCAGCUGAAAUAGUCAUGACGCCUUUCUUUGAGUCCUCUCCAGAAUAGUAUAGAGUACUGUUCAAACCAGCUGGCUCCCCAUUCUCUCUUCUUGGAACAUACUUGAGACUUAAUUGCCUCGUCAAUUUGCAGAGGUACCAAUAGUUUCUUCUUUUCAUUUUCAGCUACUCGUGUCUCAUAAGAUUCCACAAGAUACUGCUUUGACAUGAGAAAAUCAUCACAAAAUUUAGAUUCUUUUGUUUCUUAUGAUUAUACAGGCAUAUAUUUUGAAGCCCUGAGAUGUUAGUAAAACUUAUAUCCAAGAUAACCACGAACGGAAAAUUUUGGUUUUUUGCUGUGAGAUCAAUGUUGACGUCCUGUCUGAACCAUUUAUUCUUUAGCCCUCAGAUGUUAGUAAAUUUUGGUUUCAUUUAUUCUUUAGCAACUUUCUGUUUAAACUAUUUGACUUUUGCCUUUUGUUUUCACUGAGAAAAUUUAUGACCUAUAUAAGUUUGAUAUAUACUGCUAACUACAAAAUAAGUUAAGACCUCCAGAUUUCAAUUCAAAUGUAUAUAAACCUAGUUAAUCAUAUGCCAAUAAAAUUUUAUAAGUAUCUUCACCUCAUGCACAAUAGUAGGAGAUGGUCUUCCAUUUCUAGUCUCUGUUUCUGUAUUCCCCAAUUGUACCCUGUCCUCCAAUUCAGAAGGGACUGAAACAUCAUUUAAAUUCCCAUUUGCAAGAUCUAGCAGGAACUCUGCGGGGUUCAUUGCAAUUAGUGGUGAGCAUCCUACGGAGGAAAAGUAAACCAUAGCUUCUGCUGCUUUUCCAAAGUAAAGUAAAUUCCCUUUGCCUAGAAGAAUCAGUUUGUCAAACUUGUGGAAAAGUCUGCUGGACGGCUGGUGGAUUGUGGUGAUCACUGUCUUACCAGCCUGCCAGAAAGUCGAAAACAUCAGUUUAACAUGUUUCCUGUUCCCUAUAAUUCUUGACGAUCAUAAUCCAUCUUUGAGUUAUCAUUAUGUUUGUUUAUUUUCUAUCAAAAGUAAUUUAAUGAGGCACAAUCAGAAUGAUAGGAAGCGUGCAAUGAGUUCACCCUAUCCCCAAAUAGUUUAUAAAUGGAUUUGGAUCUCAAGGGAGAAUUGAAGCAGAAUUAAUAUCGUAGGUUUGUUGAACAUAAUUUGAGUGAUCAAUUUUGUCGCCUGUAAUUAAGGUAGGAAUAACUCUACCCCAUUUUAUGCAAAAUGAAUUUGACCCGCAACAAAGGACGAUAGAGAGGAUUUUGAUAGCAGCUUACCUCAGCUAUAUCCUGCAGAAGUUCAACAAUCCUUAAAGCUGUGGUAGAAUCCAAGCCAGAAGUGGGUUCAUCGAGGAACAAAAGAGAUGGGUUUAUAAUUAUCUCAUUUCCUAUACAGACACGCUUCCUCUCUCCACCUGAAACUCCCCGGACAAAGGAGCCACCAAUCAUGGUGUCUUGGCACCUGUGCACAUGAUGUUCCUUGCAAGCUUAGCUUUGUCACUUCUAAUCUGCUGGUUGAGUUAAAAUCACUUGAUACUUCCAGAUGCAAGAGAGCGUAAAAUUGAAAAUUACCUCUCUAAUCCAAGCUCAUAUAUUACAUCUACGGCGCGUUGUUCUUUUUGCUGUUUUGUCAGUAUACUUGGCAAUCUCAGCUGGGCUGCAAAUGUUAAUGUUUCUUUGACCGUAAGGUGCGGGAAUAGCACGUCAUCUUGGGUCACAAAUCCAAUCCUGCCAAAAAAUGAAAUGUUAUUCUACUGCAUUCAUUCCUUUUCGUUUUUAAAUUUUAUCUAUCAUACCUGGAAUUUGCUUUGACAUUAUCUUAGGAAGAAAUGAAAAUAUGCAGCUGAAUGUAUAAUUUGCAGCUUUGUGUAGGUUUUGAUGGAUAACCAGUUUGAUUGACCAGUUCAACGAAAUUUAUCCUGAUUGCGGUUCUCCUAGUCCUAGGCACUUCUUUACUCAACUGUGCUAGUUAAGGUUGAUGCAUUUGGAGUUCAUGCGUUUUCAUUUUUAGCUAUAGUUUGAAUCUGGGUAAUAUGCAGAUGGGACUUGCAGUUUCUUCUUAGUUUUCUCUUUUUGUGAGCAAAUAAUAAGAUUUACACCAGACCUGUUGUUCAUAAAUUGAGAGAUUAGGAAUUGGCUUCGUAUGAUCUGGAGGCAUGUGCGAUUAUGUUGGUGCUUUUGAAUAAUCAUUUCACAUGACAUGAUUUGAGGGUACUUGUAGUUGAGUUCUGCAAAAAUGUGAAACUUCUGAAAAAGAAC